GAUGAACGCUAGCUACAGGCUUAACACAUGCAAGUCGAGGGGUAACGAGAGGAAAGCUUGCUUUCCUUGUCGACGACCGGCGCACGGGUGAGUAACGCGUAUCCAACCUGCCCCCAACUAGGGAAUAACCUUGCGAAAGUAAGACUAAUACCCUAUAAUUUCCUCAGAUGACAUCUGACGAGGAAUAAAGAUUUAUCGGUUGUGGAUGGGGAUGCGUCUGAUUAGCUUGUUGGCGGGGUAACGGCCCACCAAGGCAACGAUCAGUAGGGGUUCUGAGAGGAAGGUCCCCCACAUUGGACCUGCGACACGGUCCAAACUCCUACGGGAGGCAGCAGUGAGGAAUAUUGGUCAAUGGGCGGAAGCCUGAACCAGCCAAGUAGCGUGCAGGAUGACGGCCCUAUGGGUUGUAAACUGCUUUUAUACAGGAAUAAAGUUAGCCACGUGUGGUUAUUUGUAGGUACUGUAUGAAUAAGGACCGGCUAAUUCCGUGCCAGCCGCCGCGGUAAAAC
rnacentral:rRNA from 1 species